UGAGGAACAUGACCUUCGGCGGGGGAUAGCCGGCCCAACGGCCGGGUAAUACCGCGUACGACCUUCCGGGGACAUCCCUGGAUGGUGAAAGCAGCAAUGCGCCGAUGGAGUGCCUCGCGGCCUAUCAGCUAGUUGGUGAGGUAACGGCUCACCAAGGCAACGAUGCGUAGCCGACCUGAGAGGGUGAUCGGCCACAUUGGAACUGAGACACGGUCCAGACUCCUACGGGAGCAG
rnacentral:rRNA from 1 species